rnacentral:rRNA from 1 species
AACGAACGCUAGCGGCGCGCCUAACACAUGCAAGUCGAACGUGAAAAGGGGCAACCCUGAGUAAAGUGGCGCACGGGUGAGUAACACGUAGGUAAUCUACCCAAGGGCCUGGAAUAACCUGCCGAAAGGCGGGCUAAUACUGGAUAGUUCGAGGAGUCCGUAAAGGGUUCCUCGGGAAAGGGAGCUGGUAACAGCCUUCACUCUUGGAUGAGCCUGCGGCCCAUUAGCUAGUUGGUGAGGUAACGGCUCACCAAGGCGACGAUGGGUAGCUGGUCUGAGAGGACGAUCAGCCACACUGGGACUGAAACACGGCCCAGACUCCUACGGGAGGCAGCAGUGGGGAAUUUUGCGCAAUGGGCGAAAGCCUGACGCAGCGACGCCGCGUGAGUGAAGAAGGCCUGCGGGUUGUAAAGCUCUGUCGGAGGGGAAGAAAACCCCAUGGGUUCACAGCCUAUGGGCUUGACGGUACCCUCUAAGGAAGCACCGGCUAACUCCGUGCCAGCAGCCGCGGUAAUACGGGA